GCUCAUCACAUCCUGGGGCUGAAGUAGGUCCCAAGGGUAUGGCUGUUCGCCAUUUAAAGUGGUACGCGAGCUGGGUUUAGAACGUCGUGAGACAGUUCGGUCCCUAUCUGCCGUGGGCGCUGGAGAACUGAGGGGGGCUGCUCCUAGUACGAGAGGACCGGAGUGGACGCAUCACUGGUGUUCGGGUUGUCAUGCCAAUGGCACUGCCCGGUAGCUAAAUGCGGAAGAGAUAAGUGCUGAAAGCAUCUAAGCACGAAACUUGCCCCGAGAUGAGUUCUCCCUGACCCUUUAAGGGUCCUGAAGGAACGUUGAAGACGACGACGUUGAUAGGCCGGGUGUGUAAGCGCAGCGAUGCGUUGAGCUAACCGGUACUAAUGAACCGUGAGGCUUAACCUUACAACGCCGAAGCUGUU
rnacentral:rRNA from 1 species